rnacentral:rRNA from 1 species
UGGGGAAUAUUGCACAAUGGGGGAAACCCUGAUCCAGCCAUGCCGCGUGAGUGAUGAAGGCCUUAGGGUCGUAAAGCUCUUUCGCCUGUGAAGAUAAUGACGGUAGCAGGUAAAGAAACCCCGGCUAACUCCGUGCCAGCAGCCGCGGUAAUACGGAGGGGGUUAGCGUUGUUCGGAAUUACUGGGCGUAAAGCGCACGUAGGCGGACCAGAAAGUUGGGGGUGAAAUCCCGGGGGCUCAACCCCGGAACUGCCUCCAAAACUAUUGGUCUAGAGUUCGAGAGAGGUGAGUGGAAUUCCAAGUGUAGAGGUGAAAUUCGUAGAUAUUUGGAGGAACACCAGUGGCGAAGGCGGCUCACUGGCUCGAUACUGACGCUGAGGUGCGAAAGUGUGGGGAGCAAACAGGAUUAGAUACCCUGGGUAGUCCACACCGUAAAACGAUGAAUGCCAGUCGUCGGGUAGCAUGCUAUUCGGUGACACACCU